GAUGAACGCUAGCGACAGGCCUAACACAUGCAAGUCGAGGGGCAGCACAAUGGUAGCAAUACUAUGGUGGCGACCGGCGCACGGGUGAGUAACACGUAUGCAACCUGCCUGCAACAUUGGGAUAACCCGUUGAAAGACGGCCUAAUACCGAAUAAAACAGGGACACCGCCUGGUGAUAUUUGUUAAAGCUUCGAGCAAUCGGAGCGGUUGUAGAUGGGCAUGCGUAUGAUUAGAUAGUUGGUGAGGUAACGGCUCACCAAGUCUACGAUCAUUAGGGGGUCUGAGAGGAAGGGCGCCCACACGGGUACUGAGACACGGACCAGACUCCUACGGGAGGCAGCAGUGAGGAAUAUUGGUCAAUGGGCGCGAGCCUGAACCAGCCAAGUCGCGUGAAGGAAGACGGUUCUAUGAAUUGUAAACUUCUUUUUUACAGGAAUAAAGUGAGGGACGUGUCCCUUUUUGUAUGUACUGUACGAAUAAGGAUCGGCUAACUCCGUGCCAGCCGCCGCAGUAACAC
rnacentral:rRNA from 1 species